GUAGGAAAUACUUAGGCUAGAGGCCCUAAGAUAGGCAUUGAAUUGUUGGUGUUGUUGAAUGGUUGAAAUAUAUGAUGUGUUCAUAUAUGUAAUUAUGAAUAUUGAUGCCUUGAUUGUGUGAAAUAUGAGAAAUGCAUGUUGUGAUGUAUGCUUGAUGGAUGAUUGAGGUUGAAUUGAUGGGUGGUACCAUGUUGAUGGAGAGUAUGAUAUUGAUUAUGUAUAAUGAUGGUUAAUUGGAAAUGGUAUUAUUGGAAAUUGGGAUGAGGAAGGAUGUAUGACAUGAUAUUGUGUUUGUCCUUUAGCCAUUUGAUUGAGAAGUGUUAAAAUGGUUGGAUGUGGUUUUGGAAACCUUGGUAAAGUGUCAAUGUGUGAGUUGAGGAUGGCUUGUUGUUGAUUUUGGUACAUUUUGAAUGAUUUCAAAGAGAAGGGUUGAAAUUGGCAUGUUUGAUUGAUUUUGAAAAGAGUUGAAAGUGGCUUGUUUUGAAAAUGGCACCUUGUGGUUUUUUAUGAAAAUAUGGUUUUUGGGCAUACUUUGACGGGACAUAACUUGGACUACGGAUCUCUGAUUUGUGCCAAAUCUGUUUAGAAAUGAAAUUGGAUCCGGGAUGUCCAUGCCGUUCAAAGAACGUGUGAAAAACGAUUUAAAAUGAGGAAGUUAUGUCCGUCGGAAGAUUGGG
rnacentral:lncRNA from 1 species